GAGGCUGGGGCUCAGUGGUACAGCACAAGCUUUGCAUGUAUGAGGCACUGGGUUCAAUUCCUCAGCACCA
rnacentral:tRNA from 1 species